CAGUAGUGUUUACGUACAGUGGCACCGAGUCAUCUGUCAUAGCUCUGCCUAUCUAUCUCUCUGUCAUUUAUAUUUGUACCUAUAUACUUAUCAUCUACUGUCUAUCUUUAUAUCUAUCCAUCAUCUAUUGUGUGCACACAUAGCUCAUGUGUGGAGGUCAGAGGGCAACUUGCAGAUUCAGUUCUCUCUAGCACGUAGAGACUGAAGAUCAACCUCUGGCCAUCAGGCUUGGUGAGAAGUGCUUUCCCCAGUGAUCAACCCCUCCAGCCCAAGAAGCAAAGGCCUCUGCACCCCAGGGUCCAGGGACGUACUGGGACAGACUAAUGACGGGAGCCAUCCCUGUAAGCUUGCUGUUCACCACGCUGAAGGAUCCUGGGGUCUCCCUCUGCAGCCAUAGUGACCUCCAGCCAUCAGCUUGUCAUCCAUCGGGACACCACCUCCAGCAGCCAUGGAGGACCCUGCAGACACCUCACUGGCUUCUUGGUCCUUCCUUUGGGUCCAUGGCCAGUGCUGCAGCUGCACAGAGUGCAAGGUUCUUUGUUUUGUUUUAAACAACUAUGAAAGCUGCUACUGUAGGUUGCAGACAGACGGUGCAUUUAAUUUUUUUUUUUUCCUUGCAGCCUAGAGUUCUUCCCAGCCUCAGAUGAUAGGCUGUGUUCCUUUUGAAAUUCCGGGCCAGUUGGGAGAACAGAUUGCACAAGAGAGGAGGUCCUUCUGGUCCUUGUAGAUCUUAAGAUAGAGCAACCAAAAAAACAACCCCAGAGUGAAAACAAGAAGCGAAAGCUGAGAGGAUACGCUUUUCAGUUGAUCUGUUUUACUAUUCCUCCCUCGUCAACUUCACAAAUGUUCCUUGAGCUUCGUGUGGGACCAGCACUCUGUGCUGGCGCUGGGGAUGCGGCAGGCAAGGAGGUCUCCAAGCUGGCAGACACAGCUUGGGAGAUGAGAGGGAUAAUGAUGACAAAAGACGUCCAUGCCCUAAUCUUGGGACCUGUGAACCUGUUUGGUGCCUGGCGCCCAAAGUCUCACACGGGUUCGGCAUUAGAUAAACCAUUGAGCUGUAUUCCCGACUCGGGUGAAGGUUUUUCAGAUAUGAUAUUUUUCUCCAUUAUCUGAGUGAGUCUGAUAUAAUCACUGUUUUUUUUUUGUUUUUUUUUUUAAUAAGGAGCUCAAAGGGUUGGGGAUAAGGCUCAGUAGAUAAACAUGGUGGGUGCUUGUACACACAUGAACACAUGUGCACCCCUCCCACAAGAGGCUCAGCAAGUAAAGCAUGAUCUUGAGGUGGCUUGGGGGUAACAAUGCAUGCAGCAAGCCUGGUGUCCUGAGUUCCUCACACACAGGGUGAAAGUCAAGAUCUGACUCCUGCAAGUGUUCUUGGGACCCAGCACAAGCUCCCACACUCAGUCUUACAUACACAGCAAGUAAGUAAGUAAAUACGAAACAC